CGUGUGAUAUGCAUGUGCAUCUGCACACAUGUUGGGAUGGAAUUGGCACAUACGUGUGAUAUGCAUGUGCACCUGCACACGUCAGGAUGGAAUUGGCACAUACGUGUGAUAUCCGUGUGCAUCUGCACAUGUCGGGAUGGAAUUGGCACACAUGUUGGGAUGGAAUUGGCACAGAUGUGUGAUAUCCGUGUGCAUCUGCACGCAUGCGUCAGAAUGGAAAAUGCUGAAUUGGCUGUUUCUUGCCCCCAUGGAUGGUGAAAUGAAGAUGUUUCUCCUCUCCCUGUGUUUGUUCUGCAUUUUCCAAAUAUGUUACAAAACUGUAUUACUUUUAUAAUCACGAAAGUUACAAAAACACACAUUUACACGACUGUUAUUUCCCUGACAAUAACUAGGGGUGUCCCUUCGCUUUUCCCAGCUGUGCACCGUAGAGCAGAAGGGUUCCACGGAUGGGACCGGGGCUUCCAGGCAGGGCUCUGGCUCCCAGGCCUCCAGCCACAAGCUUCAAGCCGGCUGCUUCCAGGCCCAGGGCUUCUGGCCGGGCAGCCUCCCUGGAUGUUGUCUCCUCAGGGCAGCCAGGGCCUCAUCAGACACACGAGGUCACAGCCCUUCUCUGUGCUUCCGCUGCCACCCGCUGAUCUCAGCUGUUAUCUUGACACAGAAGAAAGUCAAACUGCAGCCUGUCCCAGCUUAUCUCUGGGUUAUUUCCGCAAAGAUCCACGCUUGGGUCCCCACCCUUCCCUCCAACCUGCACUGUGCUCGGAAGCCAGACGUCCUUAAAUGCAAGCGUGAUCUCUUCCUUCUGGCCUCCUGCGUCCUAGGGGCAAAGGUCAGGCGCCUAAACGUGCUCAUCUCUGAGUGACGGCCCAGCGCCUUCAUCUCCAUUACUCAGCGAAUGUCCAGUGUCGGUGAGCCCGUGGGGGGCGGGGGUGGGGGCGGCCCUGGGCCCUUAUGGCCCAGCAGUGCGACUGAGAUAAAGGAACCAGGAGGCUAGUGAGAGGGUCCCGUGCCCGCCUGCCUGCCGGGAAGGCCCCGGCUGUGGAGGGAGCCGUGUGGGCAGUGGGGGCAGAGGGCCAGCGAGGGCCCCAGGGAGCUGACCCCAGAGGCUGAACAGAGGCGACAGGAGGAAGGCCUGGGGAGGGCAGGGUGUGGCCCCGUCCCUGGCCCCAGGAAGGCCAGUCGGUCGGGGGAUUCCAGAGCUUGAGGUCUCCUGGAUGGGAGAGACUCGAGGGGAGGCCAAGUUGGGGCCCAAAUGGGCAGCGCCUGACACAGGAGCGGUCCCCCGACUCCCUGUGUGGAAAACCAGGAGAGAACCCCGCUCUGGCUUUGGAGACACAACCCCCCGGGGUAGGAGCCUCUCCUGAACUCCCCGCAACGUUCCUCCAGCCUCUCCUGGACCCCGUGGUCAGCCCUGUGGCUUCCCUGCAUGACCUCUCUGCUGGGGGGCAGGGACGCCAUCUCCCCUCACUGUCCCGUGCCUGGCACAGGACUGCCCCCCACGAAGUGCUCCACAGAAGGACAGAAACCCUGCAGUCCCCGAGAAGGCGGGGAU
ensembl:lncRNA